GUUUUAAUAGUUUAAUAAAAAUAAAGGUUUGUGGGACUUUAGAUGUGUAUUACUUAAAACA
rnacentral:tRNA from 1 species